rnacentral:rRNA from 1 species
GACAGAGGGUGCAAAUGUUAAUCGGAAUUACUGGGCGUAAAGGGCGCGUAGGCGGCCACCGCAAGUCGACUGUGAAAUCUCCGGGCUUAACCCGGAAAGGUCAGCCGAUACUGCGGGGCUAGAGUGCAGAAGGGGCAACUGGAAUUCUCGGUGUAGCGGUGAAAUGCGUAGAUAUCGAGAGGAACACCUGCGGCGAAGGCGGGUUGCUGGGCUGACACUGACGCUGACAGCGCGAAAGCUAGGGGAGCGAACGGG